GCCAGUGUAGCUCAGUUGGUAGAGCGACGCAUUCGUAAUGCGUAGGUCAUCGGUUCGAGUCCGAUCCCUGGCU
rnacentral:tRNA from 1 species